ACGGGCGGCCAUAGCGGAGGGAAACGCCCGGUCCCAUUCCGAACCCGGAGCUAAGCCCUCCAGCGCCGAUGGUACUGCACUCGACAGGUGUGGGAGAGUAGGACACCGCCGAAC
rnacentral:rRNA from 1 species